UAAUCGAUCCGGGCCCCUCUGGCGAUCCGGCGUGGGCCAUGACAGCCCCGCCAUCGCGAUGUCGGAUCGACUUC
rfam:Roseomonas cervicalis ATCC 49957 contig01255, whole genome shotgun sequence.